rnacentral:rRNA from 1 species
UACGAGGGGGGCAAGCGUUGUUCGGAAUUAUUGGGCGUAAAGGGUGCGUAGGCGGUCUGACAAGUCUGAUGUGAAAUCUAUGGGCUCAACCCAUAGUCUGCAUCGGAAACUGUCGGGCUUGAGUAUGGGAGAGGUGAGUGGAAUUUCCGGUGUAGCGGUGAAAUGCGUAGAGAUCGGGAGGAGCACCAGUGGCGAAGGCGGCUUGCUGGGCCGGACCUGACGCUGAGACGCGAAGGCGUGGGGAGCGAACGGG